CUGGGGGAUGCAAAGUCGAGUGCGGCUCCUGUGCCGCGGGCACUGAGAGACGGGGUCUUGCUACGUUGUCGAGGUCUAGACUGCUGGCCUCAGGCGAUCUUCCAGCCUCCCAGGGCGCUGGGAUUACAGGCUUGAGCCACCGCGCCCGGCCCAGAGUCCCAUUUCUUAGACGGGCAAAUCGACCAUCACAGCCAAAGAAAAACUUCCGAGUUGCGAAGUCGGCUCAGUUGCCCCUGCGCCCUGGCGUCCCCCGAGGACGUCGCGCCUUCCCGGUGGACAGGACCUCGGCGGCCGCCCGCGGAGCCAAGGAUAACCCGACGGCCGACGGUGCCCGGUGCCCGCACGCGUGCGUCUGCGCCUUUGCGCGCGCGGCGGCCCCCGCACCUGUCCCGAAAAGCACACUCCCAGGCCACGUGCAUGCCCCGCGUCACGUACCGGCCCCUGCCUUCCCCGGCCGGAACCCGCGUGGCGGUGCCGAGCGCUGCGCCCGCCCCUACUCCCCCAGCAGUGCGCGAUAGCUGGACGCCCCUGCGGCUGCGCGCCCCCCUCCCCUGUCGGGGCUUUCUCCAGGGUCUGAGGCCCCGGAGAAGGCAGCAACGCAGACAGGCGGUGACCGCACAGAGGUAAAACCCACCAUCCCCACCUACAUGCCCACGGCAGGCACCAGCCGGCCUGGAGCGGCGGAGGGCGCCGGCCAGAGGCAGCGUCGCCCGCAGCCUGCGAUAGUGCGCUUGCACAGAGCAAGGCGGCUUUGGAAGAAAAUCUGACCCCCUCACCGCGGCCUGCAAACCCCUGCAGGAUCUGGCCCUGGCGCCUCUCACACAAUCCCCUACUUGGCUUGUACCUUGCGCACUCCCCCUCUUCCCCCACUCGCCUGGACGCUCACACACUGGCCUGCCUUAUUUCCCUGGGACACUAGGCUCUUUCCUGCCCCAGUCUGCUAUCUCUGGAAGCUCUUCCUCCUCCUCUAUCCUCAGAUAGCUCCUGUUCAGGCUACUAGGACAAGCCUAAAGUAGCACCCUUCACACUGUCUCGUAUUGCCUGGUUAUAUUAUUUCAUAACAUCAAUCACUAUCUAAAAUGCUAAAUUAGGCCUGGCGCGGUGGCUAAAAAACAGGUUUCCAAUUGUAGGGAAGAAUAUAAAGUGAAAAGCAAACAAAAAUCAUUCUACCUACCUCAUUCUACAUCCUCCCAAUCCUAUUCCCAGGAAAUAACUUGUGACCUUUGAAAACGGAGUUAUGUGUACGUCG
rnacentral:lncRNA from 1 species